GACGAACGCUGGCGGCGUGCUUAACACAUGCAAGUCGAGCGGUAAGGCCCUUUUGGGGGUACACGAGCGGCGAACGGGUGAGUAACACGUGGGUGACCUGCCCUCAGCUCUGGGAUAAGCCUGGGAAACUGGGUCUAAUACUGGAUAUGACCUUUCCUCGCAUGGGGUUGGGUGGAAAGUUUUUCGGCUGGGGAUGGGCCCGCGGCCUAUCAGCUUGUUGGUGGGGUGAUGGCCUACCAAGGCGACGACGGGUAGCCGGCCUGAGAGGGCGACCGGCCACACUGGGACUGAGACACGGCCCAGACUCCUACGGGAGGCAGCAGUGGGGAAUAUUGCGCAAUGGGCGGGAAGCCUGACGCAGCGACGCCGCGUGGGGGAUGACGGCC
rnacentral:rRNA from 1 species